rnacentral:rRNA from 1 species
GACGUAGGGCGCGAGCGUUGUCCGGAUUUAUUGGGCGUAAAGAGCUCGUAGGCGGCUCGUUGCGUCGGCUGUGAAAACCCGCGGCUCAACUGUGGGCGUGCGGUCGAUACGGGCAUCACUGGAGUUCGGCAGGGGAGACUGGAAUUCCUGGUGUAGCGGUGAAAUGCGCAGAUAUCAGGAGGAACACCGGUGGCGAAGGCGGGUCUCUGGGCAGUAACUGACGCUGAGAAGCGAAAGCGUGGGGAGCGAACAGG